rnacentral:lncRNA from 1 species
GUAGCCUCGCUUGAGGAUGCAAUAGUGGAGUUAAAGAGGCAAGCUGCUCAGAGCCAACGAGAAACCACUGAGCUGAAAAGCGAGCUCGCGAGUGCGGAAGAAGAGGUUCAAGCUCUUAAAGGUGACAAUUCCGCACUUGCUGGAAAGGCUGCAGGAUUGGAUUUAGAUGUGCGCUACCAAUCCGACCAGCUUCAAGAGCUUAUAUUCUUUGGUCCUUCCGUGUUUCCUGCUCUACCCCCCGACUACAUCACGGACAUAAUGGCGUGGGUAGAGCAACAUCCUGAGGAGCUCGAGAAAAAUAAAGAGGCUCUCGACAAGAUGAAGGACGAAGCUGCACAAGAUUAGAUCUAAG